AUGUACUGUAGCACGCUUCUGUUCUGCCAAGUUAGUUUAUUGACGAAGUCUUCAGUUCUUCUAUCAUGGAUGUGCUGCAAAAGGAGAACAAAAAAAACUGGACCCUUAGUUGAUUCUGUCUUGCCAAGUCUUCAGUGUUGCAAAUUCUUCUGGACAAGUGUCGUGAUGUACGUGAUGCUAAAUGAAAAAUAAAACACAAAAUGGACCCUUAGUUGAUUCUGUAUUGCAAAGUCUUCUGUGUCGCAAAGUCUGUUGUUCAAUUGUCUGGAUGGACAUGCUGCAAGGGGAGAAAUAAGCAGAAAAUAUAUGUUGUUUUUUUUACAAUUAUGCAAAUGUUUUUUGUUCUUAACUCUGUCCCUUAAUCACUGUCAGUUCUACUUUCCCUAACUUAGCAAACCCCCCCCCCCCCCCCAAAAAAAAAAAAAGAGAAAAACCUAACUUGGGGGGAGUCAAAAAAAUUACACAAUUUAUUGUUUUGCAACUCCAUCGGAAACUCAAUACCAGCCUUUGUCUUUGUUGUGCACACUGGACCCUUAGUUGAUUCUGUCGUGCCAAGUCUUCAGUGUUGCAAAUUCUUCUGGUCAAGUGUCGUGAUGGACGUAAUCAUUAAUUGUUAAUCGUUGUCAGUUCUACUUUCCCUAACUUAGCACACCACCCAAAAAAAAAAAAAAAAAAGCAUUUAUU